CCUACAUUAUCACGUUUCCGUUUAAAUCAUAACACUGAAAAAAUAAAAAUAAAAACUGCUCUGAAUUAUCUUCACUUUUACUACCUUUAAUAACAUUGCUUAUGAUUUUGACCCUUCUUGGCACUUACGUACAUUAGUUUGCUUGCUAAAUCAGUUAACUUUCCUAAGAUUAAUAGCUGGAAUUAUUCAGCUCAGCUUUUAAAAUGUACAUUUCUGUUUACGUGGGGUGAAUCUUUGUUGUUCUCUCUAGCCAGUGUUCAAGAAUAGACAAUUGUGCAGUUUAAAGGACAGACUUUAUAGGCGUAUGAAAUCAUAUGAACUACCCAUUUCUUUUACAAAACAGGGUUUCGUUUUGAAGCAUGAAAGUAUAAAGCUGCCAUUCUUUUUAUUUCUGAUUCUCCAAGUUGUGUGUGUAUGGCGGGUUGAGGGGGUAGGAAUGUAGGUAAGAGAGGUUGGAGUUAUAUAUAAAAUACUGCUGGAACUAUGUACAUAUUAGUAAAUCAAUCUAUUGCCUCCAGUAAGCCUUCUGUAUACCACCUGGUAUAUCCUACUAAUCCAUUAGCAUUUCCCAAAUCAAACCAAUUAUCCUUCAAUCUCCUUCCUACUGCCAAACUUGCUCUAGGGGUCUAAGUGUUUAUAAAUUAUAAAUUAUAUGUUCACUUUAAGUUAACAUGUAAUGCUAUCUUUUAGUACUAUGAUUAUUUUGCUGAUUUUUUUGAAGCACACUAAAUUUAUACCUGCUAUUCCCUCCUUUUAAGAAACCUCUGCUUUUGAGUCGCUUUUGAGUCUUUAAUACUGCUUUAGUCAUGCUGUUAAAUUAUGUUUUGAGAGCCUAUAGAACUUUAAAGAAAUACAGUAAUUGCUUUAAGUGAAGUCUUAUAAUGACACUGGUUGAACCUGGCUUCAAUUUCAACCCAACAUACUGCUUCACUCUCUGUGGUUUAAAGAUGCAAUUCUUCACAUUUCUUUUAUUGAUUACAAGCUGUGAUACUCUCCAAAGUUUUUUUUUCUCUUGUGAAAAUUUAGUAUUCUAAAUUACUAUAGUACUUUUAUACUGGUUUAAUUCAAAAUGAUUGUAAUAGCUGGGAGUAGAGUCUCAUUUUCAUAGCAUAACACCUUUAAAAAUUGAAUAUACUCCAAGCCCAUGAUUUUCUUUUCUGUGGAAAGGUUGAUUUGUGCCAUAUAUUAGAUUCCAGAUAUAAGAAUCUAUAUCUAUAUUUGUGCCAUAUAUUAGUUUCAGAUAUAAGAAUCUAUAUCUAUAUUUGUGUCUCCCCCUUGGCAACC
rnacentral:lncRNA from 1 species